CAAUAGCGUAUAUUAAAGUUGUUGCAGUUAAAAAGCUCGUAGUUGGAUUUCUGGUUGAAGCGACCGGUCGGGCGUUGAUUCGUCUGCACUGGGGUCGGUUUUGGCCAUCCUCUAGGAAAGUGCGUCUGGUAUUAAGUUAUCGGGCGUAUGAUCCUGGUCUUUUACUGUGAAAAAAUUAGAGUGUUUAAAGCAGGCCUUCGCCUUGAAUACAUUAGCAUGGAAUAAUAAGAUAGGACUUUGGUCUAUUUUGUUGGUUUGCAGACCGAAGUAAUGAUUAAUAGGGAUAGUUGGGGGUAUUUAUAUUCCGAUGUCAGAGGUGAAAUUCUUAGAUUUUCGGAAGAUAAACUUAUGCGAAAGCAUUUACCAAGGAUGUUUNCAUUA
rnacentral:rRNA from 1 species